AUGCUAUCUAGAUUUCUUGCUCUGAGGACGAACGAGUUAUGGCAGAAGUUAAGAUGUGCAAUGAACUUGAAAAUGGAGCAUAUAUGGUUGUGCUUCCAUUUUUCGGGUCGAAACCAAUCUAGAACACCAACAUUGAUGCAUUCUCUUGAACAUUUUCCGGUUUCGAAUGUUUCCUUCCACAAACUACUUUUCUUUCUGUUUAAGAUCACUGCAUUGUGGAUCAACAACACUCUCUGA